GUUGUAAUGUUUUAUUGAGUUUACAUGUAUAUUACGAGAAUAACGAUAUGUCGUAAAAACAUAAUGAUAGAUUCCUUAACUGGACUUAAGCUGGCAGCCUCUUUUAGCAGCCAAUCAAGAUCAAAUGUAACGGAUUUACAAAUACCGACUGUACUUUCGUGGAAAUAAGUUUCGUUCUGGACAAGAAUAAUAGUAAUACAACUACAAAUGGAGUUACUAACCGAGCAUGCAGCAACUACUCAGACUUUGUAAAACGCCACCAGUGUAGAAAGUUGAUGAACUAGGAGUAUGUUAAAGAACGUCACGUCCUUUUUUCUCAAAAAAGUUCAUCGGAACAUAUCAAUGCCUUGUUGAUAAACAUUCCGUAUCAACUUCACAAUUAAUACACAAUAGCCUUGGAGUAUAUAAUUUGGGUACUGACGUUGUUUAUCAUCUUAAUAACUUGUUAUAGAAUUCUUUUAUUUGUCUUUAUGAAUAUAACUUUAACUAUCAAGUCUGUUCUUUUGGUGGUAUCCAUGUGACGUAGCUGUGUACUUAUUAAUCCCGCCAUUGUAUUGUUGUUUUAUUAUUAUUUUUGUAUUCCUGUCUUUCAUUGAUGCUAAUAUGCUUUUUCACUUAAAUUGUUUAACCAUUCAAUUGCCGUUAUUUAUGACGAAAGAAAU